rnacentral:rRNA from 1 species
GACCUCGAAUCAGGUAGGGCUACCCGCUGAACUUAAGCAUAUCAAUAAGCGGAGGAAAAGAAACUAACAAGGAUCCCCCUAGUAACGGCGAGUGAACAGGGAAGAGCUCAAAUUUGUAAUCGGGCGUCCCUUGGGCGUCCGAGUUGUAAUCUAUAGAAGCGUUUUCCGUGCUGGACCAUGUCCAAGUCCCUUGGAACAGGGUAUCAAAGAGGGUGACAAUCCCGUACUUGACAUGACAACCAGUGCUAUGUGAUACGUUUUCUACGAGUCGAGUUGUUUGGGAAUGCAGCUCAAAAUGGGUGGUGAGUUCCAUCUAAAGCUAAAUAUUGGCGAGAGACCGAUAGCGAACAAGUACCGUGAGGGAAAGAUGAAAAGCACUUUGGAAAGAGAGUUAAACAGUACGUGAAAUUGUUGAAAGGGAA